rnacentral:ncRNA from 2 species
UAAUUAAGUCCUAUCUUUGCCAUUCGAAAGGAUCCACUGAACAGACCCGCUGCUGUAAGCUCCGCCAAAAGUUUUCCUACAAUACUCAAAUCCACUGUUCCGCUUUGGAGGAAUGGGAAGGGCGUUAGGAAAAUGGAGUAAGUCAGAAGACCUGCCAAAGUUGAAUUCUUGAA